GACGAACGCUGGCGGCGUGCCUAAUACAUGCAAGUAGAACGAGUUGCGAACGGGUGAGUAACGCGUGGUAACCUGCCUCAUAGCGGGGGAUAACUCUUGGAAACGAUAGCUAAUACCGCAUACCAUCUGAUUUGCCCAGAUGGGAUUAGCUAGUAGGUGGGGUAACGGCUCACCUAGGCGACGAUCCCUAGCUGGUCUGAGAGGAUGACCAGCCACACUGGAAAUGAGAAACGGUCCAGACUCCUAAGGGAGGCAGAAGGGGGGAAUAGUGUACAAUGGGCGCAGGCCGGAUACGGCCAUGCCGCGUGUAUGAAGAAGGCCUUCGGGUUGUAAAGUACUGUCAGAGAGGAGGCGUCACUCGCAGAAGAAGCACCGGCUAACCCAGUGCCAGCAGCCGCGGUAAUAC
rnacentral:rRNA from 1 species